AUGGAUGUCCGCCGUGCCCUCGCCCCUAGAUCUCGCGCACGCCCACGAUCUCGUGCACGCCCGCGCGUGAACCCAGCCCCGGUUAUGCCCGCGCCGAGCCCUCAUCCACGGAUCCGAGGAUCUCCUACACCUCUGCGCCGAAUCCGCUCCUCCCUCCGCCCGAGAUUGCCAUCAUCAACGGAAGGUGCCGAGGAUCCGCCGGAUCGCGCCCUCCUCCCCUCUGCGCCGGAUUCGUCCGCUCCCCCAUCUGUAUUGGCAAUGAGGGAUGCGGCGACCUAUAGUGCGACGGCGUCAGCUCGCUGCCCGCUUCCCCAUGAAAACCCUAAUGGUGUCCCGCCUCCUUCACCUCUGUCGCCUGAUUACACCUCACUCCACCAUGCCCCGCUGCUUCCUUCUCCACCGCCAUCAGCCCGACCUCACAUGUCUCCGCGCUCGUCAGCAUGACCUGUGGGCUCACCCUCCUCAAGGCCUUUUCCCUGGCCAAUGCUCUACGCGACCACCUCACCGUCGACCAGAUGCCCCCACUAGCUAUCCUUACAGGCGACGCCAAACAGCUUCACGGCGGUGGAGUAGGUCCCGACGCGAUCGGCGAGGAGGCAAAGGCCAAGGAGAAGGAGGCGUUCAACGUAAAGCUGGAGGGUUUCGACGCUGCCGCGAAGCUCAAUAUCAUCAAGGAGCUAAGGACGUUCAAGAAUCUGGGCAAAGAAUGUCCAUGUCUGUUUGGUAGAGCUCCCCUUGCCCCCUGGUAAUGUGUCUGAAAGUGAUUCUGUAGGAAUAAAAUCUUUGGAGGAAGUGAACCAGGCGAAGAAAUUUUUUAAGCUCC